AACAUAAACAUAAACAUAAACAUUUCAUUUCCUUUCCAAUCCAAUUCAAUUCAAUUCAUUCCACUCCACUCCACUCCACUCCAAUCCUUUUCAACCCCCAGCUUUCAUCGCUUCCCUCUUAAAAUCGGUUUUUUCUCCAACUCCAUCAUUCAUGAGAAUAACGACAACGCACUCCACCUUAAUACCGGUCUCUGAACAUUCAACAUCCAUCCCCUUGGAGCAAGGGAGAGGGAGAGGGAAAGAGAAAGUGGGAGUCAGCAACAUUUCCUAAUACUUUCCUUAUUGAAUGAUUGUAAAGCGGGGAGAGAUUAAGAUGAUAGAUUCACAAUAGUUAGGGGAGAAAAGUAGAAAGAAACAAAUGAUACUCUCAACCACUUUUUUUCCUUUCCAACAGAGAAUAAGAGAAAACAAGAGAAAUUGAAUAUGAAACCAUAUUAAAAUUAUGGGAAGGUUAACAAACUUUCCACAUGCCAUAA